rnacentral:misc_RNA from 1 species
GUAGGAGCGAGGCUUGCCCGCGAUGCAGGCACUGCGGUCUGUCUUAAACCGCAGUGAAGCCAUCGCGGGCAAGCUCCGCUCCUAC